rnacentral:rRNA from 1 species
GAUGAACGCUGGCGGCGUGCCUAAUACAUGCAAGUCGAGCGAACGGACGAGAAGCUUGCUUCUCUGAUGUUAGCGGCGGACGGGUGAGUAACACGUGGAUAACCUACCUAUAAGACUGGGAUAACUUCGGGAAACCGGAGCUAAUACCGGAUAAUAUUUUGAACCGCAUGGUUCAAAAGUGAAAGACGGUCUUGCUGUCACUUAUAGAUGGAUCCGCGCUGCAUUAGCUAGUUGGUAAGGUAACGGCUUACCAAGGCAACGAUGCAUAGCCGACCUGAGAGGGUGAUCGGCCACACUGGAACUGAGACACGGUCCAGACUCCUACGGGAGGCAGCAGUAGAGAAUCUUCCGCAAUGGGCGAAAGCCUGACGGAGCAACGCCGCGUGAGUGAUGAAGGUCUUCGGAUCGUAAAACUCUGUUAUUAGGGAAGAACAUAUGUGUAAGUAACUGUGCACAUCUUGACGGUACCUAAUCAGAAAGCCACGGCUAACUACGUGCCAGCAGCCGCGGUAAUACGUAGGUGGCAAGCGUUAUCCGGAAUUAUUGGGCGUAAAGCGCGCGUAGGCGGUUUUUUAAGUCUGAUGUGAAAGCCCACGGCUCAACCGUGGAGGGUCAUUGGAAACUGGAAAACUUGAGUGUAGAAGAGGAAAGUGGAAUUCCAUGUGUAGCGGUGAAAUGCGCAGAGAUAUGGAGGAACACCAGUGGCGAAGGCGACUUUCUGGUCUGUAACUGACGCUGAUGUGCGAAAGCGUGGGGAUCAAACAGGAUUAGAUACCCUGGUAGUCCACGCCGUAAACGAUGAGUGCUAAGUGUUAGGGGGUUUCCGCCCCUUAGUGCUGCAGCUAACGCAUUAAGCACUCCGCCUGGGGAGUACGACCGCAAGGUUGAAACUCAAAGGAAUUGACGGGGACCCGCGCAAGCGGUGGAGCAUGUGGUUUAAUUCGAAGCAACGCGAAGAACCUUACCAAAUCUUGACAUCCUUUGACAACUCUAGAGAUAGAGCCUUCCCCUUCGGGGGACAAAGUGACAGGUGGUGCAUGGUUGUCGUCAGCUCGUGUCGUGAGAUGUUGGGUUAAGUCCCGCAACGAGCGCAACCCUUAAGCUUAGUUGCCAUCAUUAAGUUGGGCACUCUAAGUUGACUGCCGGUGACAAACCGGAGGAAGGUGGGGAUGACGUCAAAUCAUCAUGCCCCUUAUGAUUUGGGCUACACACGUGCUACAAUGGACAAUACAAAGGGCAGCGAAACCGCGAGGUCAAGCAAAUCCCAUAAAGUUGUUCUCAGUUCGGAUUGUAGUCUGCAACUCGACUACAUGAAGCUGGAAUCGCUAGUAAUCGUAGAUCAGCAUGCUACGGUGAAUACGUUCCCGGGUCU